UUUAGUUUGGUUAAACAUACAGGUAAAGCACCACUGUACCUGAGGACGGCCAUUAAUGGAAAAUUUCUGCAAAUCUUAGCAUUAUCUGUUGGAUAGAGAUAUUCAUUAUCAACAGACGCAAUUUAACCAAGACAAGUAUAAUCUAACCGUUUUACGUUUGAUUUCAAUAAAUUCAAUCAGUAAAGGAGACUUCCCUUUUUUGACUGAGUGCAGCUACACCUGGAACUUCCAGAAGUCACGUUCACGAGGCAGUCAUGUAAUAAUGCUCGUUGAUAAUGGGUCGAAAGGGCAGUUUUCAUACAAACACGUCCCUUCUAUAUUGUCAACUUGGAUGACAUCGUUAACAAGCACAAGCACUGGGUGGAACUGAUGCCUCGUGUCAAACCCUUCUACG